rnacentral:rRNA from 1 species
AGAGUUUGAUCCUGGCUCAGGAUUAACGCUGGCGGCAUGCCUAAGACAUGCAAGUCGAACGGAACACCCCACUGAAAUCUGAAUGAAGUCUGAGAGCUUGCUCAAAGAUGGAAUGACGGUGGAUGUGGACUCUGUGUUCAGUGGCGAACGGGUGAGUAACACGUGGGUUACCUGCCUCUAAGUUGGGGACAACAGUUGGAAACGACUGCUAAUACCGAAUGUGAUAGUGAUAUUAAAGGAGCCUUUAAAGCUUCGCUUAGAGAUGGGCCUGCGGCGUAUUAGCUAGUUGGUGGGGUAAUGGCCUACCAAGGCGACGAUGCGUAGCCGGACUGAGAGGUUGAUCGGCCACACUGGGACUGAGACACGGCCCAGACUCCUACGGGAGACAGCAGUUAGGAAUAUUCGGCAAUGGGGGAAACCCUGACCGAGCAAUGCCGCGUGUGAGAUGAAGGUCCUUCGGAUUGUAAAUCACUUUUAUUUGGGAAGAACUGUAAGCAGAGGAAAUGAUGCUUACUUGACGGUACCUUUUGAAUAAGCCCCGGCUAACUACGUGCCAGCAGCCGCGGUAAUACGUAGGGGGCGAGCGUUAUCCGGAUUUAUUGGGCGUAAAGCGUGCGUAGGCGGUUUAUUAAGUCUAGAAUUAAAGCCCGAGGCUUAACCUCGGUUCGUUCUAGAUACUGGUUGACUAGAGUACAGUAGAGGCAAAUGGAAUUCCUAGUGUAGCGGUGGAAUGCGUAGAUAUUAGGAGGAACACCAGUGGCGAAGGCGAUUUGCUGGGCUGUAACUGACGCUGAGGCACGAAAGCGUGGGGAGCAAAUAGGAUUAGAUACCCUAGUAGUCCACGCCGUAAACGAUGGUCACUAAGUGUCGGGGGUCAAACCCCGGUGCUGCAGUCAACGCAAUAAGUGACCCGCCUGAGUAGUACGUUCGCAAGAAUGAAACUCAAAGGAAUUGACGGGGGCCCGCACAAGCGGUGGAGCAUGUGGUUUAAUUCGAAGCAACGCGAAGAACCUUACCAGGUCUUGACAUCGAUCUAAAAGGGAUGGAGACAUCCUCAUAGCUAUAGAGAAGACAGGUGGUGCAUGGUUGUCGUCAGCUCGUGUCGUGAGAUGUUGGGUUAAGUCCCGCAACGAGCGCAACCCUUAUCUUUAAUUGCUAACAUUAAGUUGAGAACCUUAAAGAGACUGCCGGUGACAAACCGGAGGAAGGUGGGGAUGACGUCAAAUCAUCAUGCCCCUUACGUCUAGGGCAACAGGCGUGCUACAAUGGCUGGUACAAUGAGCCGCAAAACCGCGAGGUGGAGCUAAUCUCCAAAGCCAGUCUCAGUUCGGAUUGAAGUCUGCAACUCGACUUCAUGAAGCUGAAAUCGCUAGUAAUCCCGGAUCAGAAUGCCGGGGUGAAUACGUUCUCGGGUGUUGUACACACCGCCCGUCACGGCAUGGGAGUCAAUAAUAUCCGAAGCCGGUAGCCUAACCCGAAAGGGAGGGGGCCGUCGAAGAUAGGAUUGGUGACUGGGCUGAAGUCGUAACAAGGUAUCCC